AUCGAUCACCUGCUCCUCCACUGCCCAUUCUUCAAGACCGUCUGGCACGAGAUCCUUGCUUGGUGCCGUGCCCCGAUCCCCCUCCCCCAGGACACUGAGAUCUCCUUCCUGGACUGGUGGUCGGCCUCGGUCGCGGCUGCGCCUACCGCCAUGCGCAAGGGGCUCUCCUCCCUGGUGCUUCUCUCCGCCUGGUCCCUCUGGCGUCAUCGCAACGCAUGCAUCUUCGACAAUGCAAGCCCCUCCACCGUGCACAAUUCCACCACGUCGGGGUGGAGCAAUUCCACCACGGAGGAGGGGCUUUGGUGA
rnacentral:rRNA from 1 species